AAACUACACAAAGGGAAGCCUAAAGUGAAGAUCAAGUAAGGCUUUUGUGAAGAUUCAGCUUUGUUAUGAUGGGUUUGCUAUAUUUUUAUUAUUUAACACUUGUUUUAUUUUAGCUUUGUUUGGGCUUGUAUUCUGGCCAUACUUUAUCUUUUAAGUUUUAGAGUGUUGGGCCAUGUUUUGGGCUUAUGUUUUAAUACUUAU
rnacentral:lncRNA from 1 species